UUUUUGCCUUCAAAGUCAGAGCGUUCUUG
rnacentral:sRNA from 1 species